rnacentral:rRNA from 1 species
GACGAACGCUGGCGGCGUGCCUAAUACAUGCAAGUAGGACGCAGUUGCGAACGUGAGAGUAACGCGUAGGUAACUACCUAUUAGAGGGGGAUAACAAUUGGAAACGAUAGCUAAUACCGCAUACUAGUAGAUGUACCUGCGUUGUAUUAGCUAGUAGGUAGGGUAUUGGCCUACCUAGGCAACGAUACAUAACCGACGUGAGGGGGUGCUCGGCCAAACUGGGACUGAAACACGGACCAGACUCCUACUGGAGGCAACCGUAGGGAAAUAUCGGCAAUGGGGGGAACCCUGACCGCACAACGCCGCGUGAGAGAAGAAGUUUUUCAGAUCGUAAAGCUCUGUUGUUAAGGAAGCGGUACUUAACCAGAAAGGGACGGCUAACUACGUGCCAGCAGCCGCGGUAAUAC